rnacentral:rRNA from 1 species
UAAGGAAUAUUGCUCAAUGGGAGAAAUCCUGAAGCAGCAACGCCGCGUGGAGGAUGAAGGGUCUAUGACUUGUAAACUCCUGUAAAGAAGGAAAAAAUUCCCAUUUGAUGGGAGAUGAUGGUACUUCUGGAGUAAGCCCCGGCUAACUACGUGCCAGCAGCCGCGGUAAUACGUAGGGGGCAAGCGUUGUCCGGAUUUACCGGGUGUAAAGGGUGCUCAGGCGGAUUUGUAAGUCAGAGGUGAAAUCUUACAGCUUAACUGUGAAACUGCCUUUGAUACUGCAAGCCUAGAGUAUGGAAGAGAGUGAUGGAAUAUCUGGUGUAGCAGUGAAAUGCGUAGAUAUCAGAUAGAACACCAAUGGCGAAGGCAGUCACUUGGUCCAUUACUGACGCUAAAGCACGAAAGCGUGGGUAGCAAACA